AUUGAACGCUGGCGGCAUGCUUUACACAUGCAAGUCGAACGGUAACAGGCCGCAAGGUGCUGACGAGUGGCGAACGGGUGAGUAAUGCAUCGGAACGUGCCCAGUCGUGGGGGACAACGCAGCGAAAGCUGUGCUAAUACCGCAUACGAUCUAUGGAUGAAAGCGGGGGACCGUAAGGCCUCGCGCGAUUGGAGCGGCCGAUGUCAGAUUAGCUAGUUGGUGGGGUAAAGGCCCACCAAGGCGACGAUCUGUAGCUGGUCUGAGAGGACGACCAGCCACACUGGGACUGAGACACGGCCCAGACUCCUACGGGAGGCAGCGGUGGGGAAUUUUGGACAAUGGGCGCAAGCCUGAUCCAGCAAUGCCGCGUGCAGGAAGAAGGCCUUCGGGUUGUAAACUGCUUUUGUACGGAACGAAACGGUCUGGGUUAAUACCCUGGGCUAAUGACGGUACCGUAAGAAUAAGCACCGGCUAACUACGUGCCAGCCGCCGCCGUAA
rnacentral:rRNA from 1 species